rnacentral:sRNA from 1 species
GCCAGGUGUGGUGGUGCACGCCUGUAAUCCCAGUGACUUGGGAGGCUGAGACAGGAGAAUCACAAGUUCAAAGCCAGCCUCAGCAACUUAGCUAGGCCUUGAACAACUUAGCAAGACCCUGUCUCAA